rnacentral:rRNA from 1 species
GACGAACGCUGGCGGCGUGCUUAACACAUGCAAGUCGAACGGAAAGGCCCUGCUUUUGUGGGGUGCUCGAGUGGCGAACGGGUGAGUAACACGUGAGUAACCUGCCCUUGACUUUGGGAUAACUUCAGGAAACUGGGGCUAAUACCGGAUAGGAGCUCCUGCUGCAUGGUGAGGGUUGGAAAGUUUCGGCGGUUGGGGGUGGACUCGCGGCUUAUCAGCUUGUUGGUGGGGUAGUGGCUUACCAAGGCUUUGACGGGUAGCCGGCCUGAGAGGGUGACCGGCCACAUUGGGACUGAGAUACGGCCCAGACUCCUACGGGAGGCAGCAGUGGGGAAUAUUGCACAAUGGGCGGAAGCCUGAUGCAGCAACGCCGCGUGCGGGAUGACGGCCUUCGGGUUGUAAACCGCUUUCGCCUGUGACGAAGCGUGAGUGACGGUAAUGGGUAAAGAAGCACCGGCUAACUACGUG